rnacentral:tRNA from 1 species
GCCGAAGUGGCGGAAUGGCAGACGCGACGGUCUCAAAAACCGUUGGGGGAAACCCCGUGUGGGUUCGAGUCCCACUUUCGGCACCA